rnacentral:rRNA from 1 species
GAGUGCCCCGAGCGUUACUCCGGAUUUAUUGGGCGUAAAGCGUACGUAGGCCGUCUAUUAAGUCAGAAGUAAAAUCUCAGAGCUCAACUCUGAACCUGCUCCUGAAACUGAUAGACUAGAGGCUGGGAGAGGCAAGCGGAAUUGCUGGUGUAGGAGUAAAAUCCGUUAAUAUCAGCAGGAACACCAAAUGCGAAGGCAGCUUGCUAGAACAGUCCUGACGCUAAGGUACGAAAGCGUGGGGGUAGCGAAUGGGAUUAGAUACCCCAGUAGUCCACGCCGUAAACGAUGGAUACUAGACAUUGGAAGUAUCGACCCUUUCAGUGUCGGUGAACCAAGCUAACGCAUUAAGUAUCCCCGCCUGGGGAGUACGGCCGCAAGGCUA